AAAUUUGAUGUGGAAAUGUUAAGAAAGGUUAGGGGUAAAAAGGGAAAUUCGCAAGAAGGCUCAUAGAAAUAUUGCGGAAGGCUAAGGGAAAAUUUGAAAUUUGAAAAAUAAUUUUCAUGAAUUACAAAAUAAAAAUAAAAUAAAAAAAGAAGAUGGGCUUGCACAAAUGGCCAAGGUGGCCGGCCAAAAGGGAUAUGGGCCAAGGCCCAUAUGAAGGCUAAGAUAAGUAAUAAAAAGAGGACCAACUUAUCAUUUUAUCAUCUUCAUCACAUGAGAAAAAUCAAGAAGCUUGUAGAAAGAAAAAAAAAAGACCACCAUAUAUUCGGCCAUGGGCAUGAAAAAUUAGCCCCUUGAAAUCUUGAUCAAAAAAAUUAUUUCUCCUAGCAUUCAUACUAAGUUGAAGGUCCUCUUUAACGUGGUAUAAUUGUUGGAGCGAGAAAACUACUCUUUAUUGCAAAUUCUCAACCCUAGCCAAGUGAGAAGUUGAAGGAAAAAGAUUUUACGAAAGACGAGACUUAAGUGCGAACUAGCUUAGGAAGCAGACAAGGUUCAGGGACGCGGUCCGGCGAUCCAGCUACCUAGGGGGAGUCAGCACCGGGAGUCAGACAGCUCCACUUGCCUCGGAGACUGUUCCUGUUUUGGUAUAACUUUGUUUAUUGCACUGUCACGACCCAACUAGGGGCCGCGACGGGUACCCGAUACUUGUACCGAGCACCCCCUUAUCUCGUAUCGUACUUUUACUACUAGGUGGGCCGUAUAGACUAUACCGUAUCUUUUUUUUUCUGUUGCUUAACGCUGCAUUAAUGGCAUAAUUGUAAACAUGGACUUAUAAACUUUACUAGCACAUUAUACAACGACGAGGACAACAAAAGUACAAAACAUCUGACUGUACAUAUCUGUCUACGAGCCUCUAAACAAGGUACAUCUACAUAUACAAGAAGGACCGGUUCUACCGUGCCCGAAUAUAUACACAAAAGUAGUACCAAGAAACUGAGGCUCCGGAACAACUGGAGCGCUGCCACAGUACUGCUGAUGGAGCUUCUAAGAGUCAAAUAUGUCUACCUGCUGACCUGCGUGGCAUGAAACGCAGCGUCCACAAGAAGGGACGUCAGUACGAGUAAUGUACCGAGUAUGUAAGGCAUGAAUAAUAACAUACGAAAAAUAUAGAACAAGGAUAAUGACA